AGCAGCCGCGGUAAUUCCAGCUCCAAUAGCGUAUAUUAAAGUUGUUGCAGUUAAAAAGCUCGUAGUUGAAUUUCGGGAUCAAUAUGUUGGUCGUGCCUUGGUACGUACUGGCAUUAUUGGUUUCUACCUUCUGAAGAACCUCGAUGUCAUUAAUUUGGUGUCUUGGGGAAUCAGGACUGUUACUUUGAAAAAAUUAGAGUGUUUAAAGCAGGCUCGCGCUUGAAUACAUUAGCAUGGAAUAAUGAAAUAGGACGUUUGAUUCUAUUUUGUUGGUUUCUAGGAUCGACGUAAUGAUUAAUAGGGAUAGUUGGGGGCAUUAGUAUUCAAUUGUCAGAGGUGAAAUUCUUGGAUUUAUUGAAGACUAACUACUGCGAAAGCAUUUGCCAAGGAUGUUUUCAUUAAUCAAGAACGAAAGUUAGGGGAUCGAAGACGAUCAGAUACCGUCGUAGU
rnacentral:rRNA from 1 species